GGAAUCGUACCCCAAACCGACACAGGUGGUCGGGUAGAGAAUACCAAGGCGCUUGAGAGAACUCGGGUGAAGGAACUAGGCAAAAUGGUACCGUAACUUCGGGAGAAGGUACGCUCUUGAUGGUGAAGUCCCUCGCGGAUGGAGCUGACGAGAGUCGCAGAUACCAGGUGGCUGCAACUGUUUAUUAAAAACACAGCACUGUGCAAAAUCGCAAGAUGACGUAUACGGUGUGACGCCUGCCCGGUGCCGGAAGGUUAAUUGAUGGGGUUAGCGCAAGCGAAGCUCUUGAUCGAAGCCCCGGUAAACGGCGGCCGUAACUAUAACGGUCCUAAGGUAGCGAAAUUCCUUGUCGGGUAAGUUCCGACCUGCACGAAUGGCGUAAUGAUGGCCACGCUGUCUCCACCCGAGACUCAGUGAAAUUGAAAUCGCUGUGAAGAUGCAGUGUACCCGCGGCUAGACGGAAAGACCCCGUGAACCUUUACUACAGCUUGGCACUGAACAUUGAACCUACAUGUGUAGGAUAGGUGGGAGGCUAUGAAGACGUGACGCCAGUUGCGUUGGAGCCGUCCUUGAAAUACCACCCUUGUAUGUUUGAUGUUCUAACUUAGACCCGUUAUCCGGGUUGAGGACAGUGCCUGGUGGGUAGUUUGACUGGGGCGGUCUCCUCCCAAAGAGUAACGGAGGAGCACGAAGGUGGGCUAAUCACGGUUGGACAUCGUGAGGUUAGUGCAAUGGCAUAAGCCCGCUUAACUGCGAGAAUGACGGUUCGAGCAGGUGCGAAAGCAGGUCAUAGUGAUCCGGUGGUUCUGUAUGGAAGGGCCAUCGCUCAACGGAUAAAAGGUACUCCGGGGAUAACAGGCUGAUACCGCCCAAGAGUUCAUAUCGACGGCGGUGUUUGGCACCUCGAUGUCGGCUCAUCACAUCCUGGGGCUGAAGUCGGUCCCAAGGGUAUGGCUGUUCGCCAUUUAAAGUGGUACGCGAGCUGGGUUUAGAACGUCGUGAGACAGUUCGGUCCCUAUCUGCCGUGGGCGUUGGAAGAUUGAAGGGGGCUGCUCCUAGUACGAGAGGACCGGAGUGGACGAACCUCUGGUGUUCGGGUUGUGUCGCCAGACGCAUUGCCCGGUAGCUAAGUUCGGAAUUGAUAAGCGCUGAAAGCAUCUAAGCGCGAAGCGAGCCCUGAGAUGAGUCUUCCCUGAUACUUUAAGUAUCCUAAAGGGUUGUUCGAGACUAGAACGUUGAUAGGCAGGGUGUGUAAGCGUUGUGAGGCGUUGAGCUAACCUGUACUAAUUGCCCGUGAGGCUUAACCAUACAACACCCAAGGGGUUUUGUA
rnacentral:rRNA from 1 species